rnacentral:lncRNA from 1 species
UGGUUGUCCCAUGUUGCGCUUCGGGAAGGCUCUGCAAAAGGUUGAGACAGAUGACCCAACACAGAUGUUGAAUCAGAUAUUUCUGCAGGUCCCGGGACAGAAGGCGUUUUGGGACAGCUGGAGUCUGAGGACCACUGCCCGCCCAAGCACGUUUCCGGAGAGCCUGCACCCGGAAUAGAAGACUCAAGUGUAUUGAGUGAGAGAUCAUGCUGAUCGGCGGCAGGAGAAGAAGGCGUCGGUGACGUGCAGGGAGAAGAAUCAGGAGUCGCGCGCGCGCGCUGAACACGCGUCUCUUUCUCCGCGGCCUCUCGCUCUCCAUGUAGGGUUAGUGGGUCUUCAUUUCCUCGCCUUAUUCUCCCCCGACUCUGUGUGCUUUCACUGCCUUGUUCGUCUCUGGACCUGCUCGCCAAUGAACGACUGCCCUCGUCUGCGUUUCCUGUUGUCCACUCGUCUGUUUCUUUCAGAAUCCUUUUUUCCUUUUCUUCUCUGGUGUCCACGCUGCCGCAACCACACGGCUCUGGCGAUCUCGUCUCAGACGGCGUCUCUUCGUGGAAGACUGGGUGCUUUGCCGUUUCCUCGGCUGCGUCUCCGUGUGAGAGUGGAAAAGGUGAAAGCCUCACUGAGGCGGGAUGGGCGACAGAGCCUUGGCCUUCUGCACAGGAGAACGGGCUUCCUGCCUCUGGAUCGAUUCCCUGCUCAGUCGCAUCUCCCUCCGAGAUCCGCACAGCGACAGAUCCGCCUUCGCUAUUCCGAGAUUCAGCGCGGCUUCCUGGUGGGAUAUCGACCUCGCGCUUUCUGUCUACCUCAGCUUCUGAUGUCUCUCGGGAAUGUGACAACGUAAGUGAGAACGCUGCGAGAGGGGCAACCGUCUCGUCAGGCACCCUCGCAGCCAACGUGUCAAUUUUCGUCUCUUCGAGAGACAGAAGGGUGGCCUCUGAUUGGUUUGCCUGCGGAUAGCCUUCUCUGCCCGUGUCUCGGGCCUUUUGCAGCCGCUGAGGGAGGUUUAGCGGUCUGGGAUUCGGAGUCCUGAUUGCUCUUGGAGGCAGUGGGAGGAAGCCCAAGUUGGGCGGCCUUCGAGCAGGAGCGAAUCCAGGAGCCGGACUGGAGGAAGGCCUUUGGACAUCAAGACGGGAAGCGGUGGGGCAACUUGGAGACUCGAAGGGUCCUCUUGAUCCUGCUGAGAACGGAGGUCUUAAUGGAGGCAUGGGUCGUUCCAACACCUCGCUCUGGAAUCUUUCGGAGGCCCGUGGGAACCCUGCAACCGGUAUUUCUAUGUCGUAUCUUUUCGGAGAUUCUUCGAGGCGCCUUCCUGGCUCUUCUUCUACGGCACGUGUCGUGUAUGCGGCCUCCGUUUCGUUUGCAACGUCGCUGGGCUUUUGGGGACUCUUCUCUCUUCUAUCGUCAUCUCGAUGCUUGUUCGCGGAUGUGCCCACUUUGUUAAUUUCCUCCUGAUCCGUCACGGGGAUAUCAACCUCCAGGGCUCGAGGAACGAAAGCCCGGAGAUCAGAGAUGUCACCGUGACUGCUCGAGCAGAGAGCGAGGUUCUCAGACAAAUGGUGUAUUUUUGCCACCUCAUCUUCACCCCCGUAGGAAUUGAGGGCAGACGCUCCGGCACUGCUGACCCGGCUCCGGUCGCCGCACUGCACGAGAUCGGGUGGCCACACGCCUGGAUGCCACGCUGUUGGGGUCAUUGGGCGACUUUCACCCCUUCGUGCAGAAGCAUCUGGCAACUUUGUCGCCUCUGCGGGGACCGAACAUUUCUCGUUUGUCCGUGACUCCUCUGACGUUUGAUCGAGAAGGGACGGCGACAAAGCAUCCCUAGAAGCGUAGGCGUGCACUGAAGCUUCGACGCUCUCAGAUACAGCGUUUGUUUCGCUCAGAUGACUUUCGGAGCUUCUUUCAAACCCGGCUUCUACACAGGGUUCCCCGGCCUCGUCAACGUCUGAGGAGAAUGGAAUCUCUGGGAGCGGUGUAGAUCGCGGAGAUGGAGGGAGAGGAGUCUGCUGAGAAGACCCGAUAGAGUUUCCGUCGAUUUCUUCUCCACGGUUUGCAUGUGCCGAGGAAGGCCACAACAGCUGCAAGUCCGCUGCGGUCGGUGUUUCUUCUACUGGAGUUGGAGAAAGUUGCUGCAAUCUUGAAGCCUCAGGCGCGUGUGGCGAGUCAUCUGGGGGCGCUCUGUCGCGGGGGUCUGCCUCCUGAUAGGGGUUGUCAGUUGGACUGUCCCCGCAUUCUUGGAUCAGGCUCUGGGUGGGGUCAAAGAGAUCUGGAAGCUUCUCUGCUGAAGCCUCGGGGGUACGACCAGGAGCGUUUCGCAAUUCCUUCGGCGAAACGUCGGAAGAAGCGUGUUCUUCUGUUCCAGAGGCUGCCGGCAUCAACGGCAUCUCAGUCUGUCGUUCAUUGUCUUUUUCGUCAGACGCACUCUCCCCACUUGCACGCUUCUUUUCACUUGUGCGUCCCGUCUGUCCUCGGCUCACACUCUCAGACGGUUCCGCGUCGUCUUCGAGUGCAGUCCUUUCUUCUCUCUCGUAUCCCUUCUCCGAGUUGACAUCGUGAAUGCCUCCGUCCUGGACUUUUGAACUGUCCCCAAGACUUUCUCUUGCAUAUCUGCUGUCCAGUGUGUCAUUGCCUUCGUUCUUGUGUCCAUCGGUCACGCACAGCAUCACUGCUUCCUCUCGUGAACAACCAAAAAUAGUGCGCAAAGAUGCUUCAUCUCUUUCUUCAUCUCCUUUUCCUUCCAGUUCGUGAUCCGCAGCUCCUCCGCCUGACGCAUUCGCAUCUGACUUCCCGUCUAAGUCCCGUUGCUGCUGUUCUUCUUCGUCUUCUCUUUCGAACGGAGACAAACUUCCUUCGCCUCGCGUUCCGUUUUCUUUUCCUUCCAUCUCCUUGUCCUCUCUCUGCGUUUCCUUCUUUCUUGUGUCCUCCCUAGCAUCUUCCAAACCUGCGCAUGCCCCCUGCGUGUUGACCAUCCGUGCCGCGGCGGUGUCUUCCUGCAGCGCGCUCGCUGUCCCCGGUUCGCGCGCCUGCAUUCGAGUAGCCUCGCCGCUUCGCUCCUCGACGUUCGACGGCAUUGUACGCAGUGUUGGCCCGGAAACCCGUUUUCUGAAGCAGCGGACUCGGCUUCCGUUUUCACGCGGCAUUUCCGUUUUUCUGCGCACGUGUGUCGCGCCCGAGGCUCCCAGCUUCUGUGGGGCUUCCUGAGUCUCACUGGCAACGCCAUCAGCCGCUCCCGUGGCUUGUUCGCCGGCUCGCUUCUUGGACAGCUGCACAAACACUUUCUCCUUUCCUCGCGAAUGACGGAGAAGCAGACCUCUCUGGGAGCUGGCGUAGGUGCUGCCACUCCGUGGCGCGCGACGAGACCCUCGUGGGCCACCGCCUGGAGUCGAAGGCGCCGCCGACAUUCCUGCAUCCCUGACUUCUCCGUCGUUGCUUCUGUCUUGGCGUCCAUCUUGACGGGCGCAGUUGUCUGGUGUUUGCAAGAAGCCGACGCUGCCCCCGUUCGAGCUACCCCCGUCUGCCGAAAGGACUGGACUCUGCAGCGAAAACGAGCUGGCACGCGAUUGAAGAGAAACGGCGCCCGGCUGCAAGGCUUUUACAUGAAUCGUCCGCUCCCGUAGUUCGCCGAUACUCAAAGGCCUGUCUGCGAUCCACGCAUCGCCACCAGGCCUAUCAGUCCCUAUCCCCCACUCAUCGUCGUCUUCGCUGUCGCCUCCUGCUCCGUUGCCAUGUGUUGGAAGGGCCCCUUCACGCGAUUCCCCGCACCGUCCUCGUUUUCCUGUCUCGCCUGGCUGUAAACCAUCUCCCGUGUUGGCUGCACGCGACAGCGAGUGGCCUGUUAGUCCGGGGUCGCUUCCCACGUCCCCCGUACCCCUUAGCUGUCCGGACAGUUUCGCACCCCUGCGACGGGUUCCGUCCUCACUUACGAGGGGACACAACGAGUCAUCUGUUCCUUUUUCUGUUCUAUGGUCUUCUCGAGGGUCGCUGAAGCCUGCCAUGCCACUGUGGCUGUCUCCGCCGUAGCCCGAGAGUGUGGAGGGCCCUCCCGUAUUUUCUGAGUCUAAGAACCGGCCGGAGAGAGCCAGAGCAGACGGGCUACUUGCAGUGACAGCCGAGCAACCGCUAUCAUGUGGAUGUGAAGCCGCGGACGUGACACACAUGGUUUUCCGCGCUCCAGAGCCCAUGCGAUUCCCCUCACCAGCGCCCUGGGUGCCGCUGCAGCUUCUCGGAGACAGACGACCAGGUUCUGGAGAGAGUGAAGUAGCUUCCGGACCCUUGCCACCUCCUGCAGCACGGUGGCUGCUGUGAGCGGUGGCGAGAAAGGGGGUGAGGCCAGUUGGGGACUCGCCGUUGUCGGGAGCUUCUUCGGUGGCAGAUCGAGCCGCAGCUAAAAGACUGCCUUGGUUCGCAAGAAUAAACUUCUCAAGGUACCACAGGAGAGGGAGAAUGUUCUUUGACCCUUCGCUGCCGCCGAAUUCUUGAGAAGACGCCCAGUCUGAUGCCUUGCUACGACAGUCUCGAAGUGGGGUGAAAGGGGCUGGACCACGAGAGUCUACGGCUCCCGCCUUUCCGGCAGCGGCAGCGCAUUCCUCCGCUGUCCCAGGAGGCGGGGGAUCGUCACAGCUGAGCGGGCCUUUCCAGGCGUGGCUCACGAGGGCUGCUGCUUCCAUGAGUAUCUCGUGAGUCUGGGCGAGACAGUGUAGCUGAUGCUGAACAAGAGCAUUUUUUCCAGCUGUCGCAAACAGCAUUUUCGAGAUCUGAGCAGCCUCGCCACGCAGUGACGCAUCUGUCACCUGCAGCGCGGAUGCCUCGUGCUGAGCCUGUUGCUGAAUGUGCGUCUCCAGUUCCCGCUUUUUGGCUUCAAUGGCCUCAAGCUCGAAGUUCAGCAUGUUCACGUACGUCAUGAUGCUGUAAUUGCGCUCCUCCAACUGAGAGAAAAUGGCUACGAUCUCUUCGGGGUCUGUACGCAUACAAAUGCAAACGGGCUCACAGACCGGUGGCACAUGUCACGAUGCAGUGGCAGACGUUUUGGAUGCUGCACUGUAGACCGUAGCGCGACAAAAGAAAUCGUAAACAUUAGAAAAAUAAAUGUGGACAAAACCCCGUCACAAACAGCACGCCAUGUAUAUUCAGAGACAAACAGGCACGGGUCUAGUCAAGUCAGAAGAAAGCGAGACAGAUAGAAGAUGCGUAUGUGUGAAGUCCGCUGAAUAGACGUGAACCAGAUGUCGUUCUGAAGAGUUGACCAUCCCGGUGCAGCAGACAAAUCUACUGUAAAGCGGAAGCAAAUGUAUUUUCCAUCAGCGCGAUAGAAGCGAAGCUUUCGGGUUGAUGGAUGAGCUCUCGUUUUACGGCAAAAACGAGCUUUACAGCUUGAGCACAGAAUUGCCACGUAACCUGGAGAAAUAGAUAUGCUACGGCGGUAGUCCUCCACCAGGUCACAUCUUGGGGCUACGAAGAGCCCUCUAUGAAUACGAAUGUUUUCCAGGCCAAAUUUCUCUUCUCAACGCAACGCUGGGACAAAGGGCUAUGUGUGACAGCUGAAUAUGGAGUACACAGCUUCCGUGGAAGCUCUCCGUAAUCAAAGCUGAAUGCGUCUGAUGUUCUUACCUGAAAUGCCUGUUGAGGUUUUGAUACUUUCCAUAGCCCGCUCAAAAACUGCAAUUUUUGUCCGGUGUUGUUUGAUACUGUGGCGCUGAACAGCAUUGAGAAGCGCUGUUUUCAAGAUGAGCUUCAUGAGACUCUCUGGGUUGAAAUUUUGCUCUUCUUCAGCGACAUUAUACGGUGUUCCCUUCAUCUGCGCCCGGAGGUUCGAAGAUUCUCUGUGUGCGCGGAUGUCAAACUCUUUGAUCAGACGAUCCUAGAACAGGACACGACUCGUACAUCAGGUGUUCCGCUUCUGGAAGACUGCGGUAUAUCCCAU